GGGCAGGUAGCUCAGUCGGUACGAGCGUCCGCCUGAAAAGCGGAAGGUCGGCGGUUCGACCCCGCCCCUGCCCACCU
rnacentral:tRNA from 12 species